GCCUUCGUGGUGUAGUGGUCAGUACGCUCGACGCGUAACCGAGAGGUCCGUGGUUCGAUUCCCGGUGAAGGCG
rnacentral:tRNA from 1 species